UACAGAGGGGGCAAGCGUUGUUCGGAAUUACUGGGCGUAAAGGGCGCGUAGGCGGCCUGUUAAGUCGAACGUGAAAUCCCCGGGCUCAACCCGGGAACUGCGUCCGAUACUGGCAGGCUUGAAUUCGGGAGAGGGAUGUGGAAUUCCUGGUGUAGCGGUGAAAUGCGCAGAUAUCAGGAAGAACACCCGUGGCUAAGGCGGCUCUCUAGUACGGUACUGACGCUGAGACGCGAAAGCGUGGGGAGCGAACAGG
rnacentral:rRNA from 1 species